rnacentral:rRNA from 1 species
GACGAACGCUGGCGGCGUGCCUAAUACAUGCAAGUAGAACGCUGAAGGAGGAGCUUGCUUCUCUGGAUGAGUUGCGAACGGGUGAGUAACGCGUAGGUAACCUGCCUGGUAGCGGGGGAUAACUAUUGGAAACGAUAGCUAAUACCGCAUAAGAGUAGAUGUUGCAUGACAUUUGCUUAAAAGGUGCAAUUGCAUCACUACCAGAUGGACCUGCGUUGUAUUAGCUAGUUGGUGGGGUAACGGCUUACCAAGGCGACGAUACAUAGCCGACCUGAGAGGGUGAUCGGCCACACUGGGACUGAGACACGGCCCAGACUCCUACGGGAGGCAGCAGUAGGGAAUCUUCGGCAAUGGACAGAAGUCUGACCGAGCAACGCCGCGUGAGUGAAGAAGGUUUUCGGAUCGUAAAGCUCUGUUGUAAGAGAAGAACGAGUGUGAGAGUGGAAAGUUCACACUGUGACGGUAUCUUACCAGAAAGGGACGGCUAACUACGUG